rnacentral:rRNA from 1 species
UACAGAGGUCUCAAGCGUUGUUCGGAUUUACUGGGCGUAAAGGGCGCGUAGGCGGCCACCGCAAGUCAGUUGUGAAAUCUCUGGGCUUAACCCAGAAAGGGCAACUGAUACUGCGGGGCUAGAGUGCAGAAGGGGCAACUGGAAUUCUCGGUGUAGCGGUGAAAUGCGGAGAUAUCGAGAGGAACACCUGCGGCGAAGGCGGGUUGCUGGGCUGACACUGACGCUGAUGCGCGAAAGCUAGGGGAGCGAACGGG